GAUUGUCCGUCUUAUAUGAAAUUUUUUUAUAAUUAGUAUUUUCAUUGUUGUUAGAUGAUAAAACAUGAUUAAUACUUUAUACGUGACUUAUCUUUUUGAUUUUUUCAAAUAAGACAGACGGUCAAAUAUUGGACACGAAAAUCUAGGGUUUAUCUUUUU
rnacentral:pre_miRNA from 1 species